rnacentral:misc_RNA from 1 species
UCCGGUUUGUCACCGGCAGUCUCGCAUGAGUCCCCAACUAAAUGCUGGCAACAUGCGACGGGGGUUGCGCUCGUUGCGGGACUUAACCCAACAUCUCACGACACGAGCUGACGACAGCCAUGCACCACCUGUGAUCCUGCCCCGAAGGGAGCCCGUGUUUCCACGGGGGUCAGGAACAUGUCAAGCCCAGGUAAGGUUCUUCGCGUCGCGUCGAAUUAAACCGCAUGCUCCGCUGCUUGUGCGGGUCCCCGUCAAUUCCUUUAUGUUUUAGUCUUGCGACCGUACUCCACAGGCGGGAUGCUUAACGCGUUAGCUUCGCUACUAGAAGGGUCGAUACUUCUAACAGCUAGCAUCCAUAGUUUACGGCAUGGACUAC